ACAGGAAUUCCCUGGGGAUUUAAUUAUAAUGCAGAUUCUGGUGCAAUAGACCCAGGGAACAGGCAAAGAAUCUGCAUUUCUAACCAGCUCCCAGUUUAUGCUAAU
rnacentral:pre_miRNA from 1 species